rnacentral:rRNA from 1 species
UACGUAGGGGGCAAGCGUUGUCCGGAAUCAUUGGGCGUAAAGCGCGCGUAGGCGGCCCGGUAAGUCCGCUGUGAAAGUCCAGGGCUCAACCCUGGAAAGCCGGUGGAUACUGCCGGGCUAGAGUCCGGAAGAGGCGAGUGGAAUUCCUGGUGUAGCGGUGGAAUGCGCAGAUAUCAGGAGGAACACCAAUAGCGAAGGCAGCUCGCUGGGACGGUACUGACGCUGAGGCGCGAAAGCGUGGGGAGCGAACAGG